rnacentral:rRNA from 1 species
GACGAACGCUGGCGGCGUGCUUAACACAUGCAAGUCGAACGAAGUGGCGAACGGGUGAGUAAAGCGUAAUCAACCUGCCCUUCAGAGGGGGACAACAGUUGGAAACGACUGCUCAUACCGCAUACUGAAGGAGGGGAUUGCGUCUGAUUUGCUAGGGGGGGGGGUAACGGCCCACCAAGGCGAUGAUCCGUAGCCGGGUCGAGAAGAUGAACGGCCACAUUGGGAACGGGACACGGGCCAGGCUCCUACGGGGGGGAGCAGGGGGGAAUCUUCCGCAAUUGACGAAAGUCUGACGGAGCAACGCCGCGUGGUUGAUGAUGGCCUUCGGGUUGGAAAGCUCUGUUAAUCGGGACGCGGUACCGGAAUAGAAAGCAACGGCUAACUACGUGCCAGCCGCCGCGGUAAUAC